rnacentral:rRNA from 1 species
CUACGGGGCGCUGCAGCUGAGGAAAUUUUACAAUGCUCGCAAGAGUGAUAGAAUGAAUCAGAGUGUUUCUCUUAGAGAAACUUUUUUCUGUUGUAAAAAGACAGAGGAAUAAGGACUGGGAAAGACCGGUGCCAGCCGCCGCGGUAAUACCGGCGGUCCAAGUCGCAUCCACAUUUAUUGGGUCUAAAACAUCCGUAGCUUGUUUUAUAAGUCCCUUGUGAAAUCCUACAUCUCAAGUGUAGGGCGUGCAAGGGAUACUAUAUUACUAGAGACCGGAAGGCGUAAAGAGUAUGGUUGAGGUUGCGGUAAAAUGUGUUAAUCUCAAAUAGACUAACAAUUAGCGAAGGCACUUUACGGGGACGGAUCUGACAGUGAGGGAUGAAGGCUAGGGGCGCAAAAGGGAUUAGAUACCCUAGUAGUC